GAACGCUAGCGGACAGGCCUAACACAUGCAAGUCAGGGGCAGCACAAGAGCAAGUCUGAGGUGGCGACCGGCGCACGGGUGAGUAACACGUAUGCAACCUGCCUGUAAGCGGGGAAUAACCCGUUGAAAGACGGACUAAUACCGCAUAAUACUAAAUUACUGCAUGGUAAUUUAUUUAAACAUUUAUGGCUUACAGAUGGGCAUGCGCAUGAUUAGCUAGUUGGAGAGGUAACGGCUCCCCAAGGCAACGAUCAUUAGGGGUUCUGAGAGGAAGGUCCCCCACACUGGUACUGAGACACGGACCAGACUCCUACGGGAGGCAGCAGUGAGGAAUAUUGGUCAAUGGACGAGAGUCUGAACCAGCCAAGUCGCGUGCAGGAAGAAUGUCCUUAAUGGAUUGUAAACUGCUUUUGCAGGGGAAUAAAGUGCAUCACGUGUGAUGUUUUGUAUGUACUCUGCGAAUAAGGAUCGGCUAACUCCGUGCCAGCAGCCGC
rnacentral:rRNA from 1 species